rnacentral:lncRNA from 1 species
CUUCUCAGGCUCUGUGGGCUUCAGUUUGUCUUUAAGGCCUGGAUCUGCCCUUGACGCUCUUCUGUCAGCUUGCGCACCCUUCCGGUUCCGCGAGGGUGCAGCAUGGCUCCUUCCCUGUCUGCCCUCCCAUCUCGGCCCUGCUCUCCCGAGCUCAGUCUGUAGUCCUUUCGGAGCACUGAAGGAACAGCCUAGGACGGCGUGACAUGACCCAGAGGCAGCCAAGGUCGGAGGAGAGGAAAGCCCCAAGCUGCACAGCUUGGAGGGAGAAGGGAGAAGCGAGGCACAUGGCCGAGUGCCCGGCCUGCCCUUGAGUGUCUUUCAUCUGGGAUCAGCCUCAAUCUAACCAAGUGGUGCACCCGAGGAGCUUGGCAUUAACCAACAACACACCACACUACACACCACACACCACAACAGCACACCCACACACACGCUCGAGACAGUGUGUGCCAUGCAGGGCCACACUGCUGCACCCACAGUGAGGGUGCCCAGGAGCCACGGUCUGUUGUGGGCACACCCUCACGUGCUGGAGGCUCGGUCACUCGGAGUCCCGCCUUGGGGCAUCAGCUCCGUUUGCUAAUGGGACACAGAUGCUCAGAAAGGCUAAAUGAUUCAGUAAGCAGAAGCCAUCCAAGUGAGAAUGGAGCAUGGAAUCCAAACCCGCACUGCAGGAGAGGCCUCUUCCUCUUCCGUGUGCUCCCAAGGAGGCAGGCCUGUGGGAACAGAGGCCUCACCCCGCCAGUGGCCCUGGGCCUGCAUCUGGACAGCCAGGCCAGCCUGUCUCCAGUCUGAGUGCUUCUGCCCCUCGGGUUUUGUGAGAUGGGAACCAGAGCAGAAGAUGGUGGCUGCCGAGUUUUAUCUUGGCAAAGUAAGGAUUUUUAAAAACCAACAUAAUUCCCAAAUGAAUAUAUACUGUCUACUACUCCCUAAGUUCAUAAAAGGAGAAAAUAAAAAAGAACAGUGACUAAAUGAGAGUCCUUUAAAUUGAACACCUUGUGUUUUGGCAGGACUCUUUCACGUGUUCCACUCACCCCUUUUUGUUUUGUUUUUUUUCAAUAGCAAAACAUUUAUUGGCACAUCUUAGAAACACACGAUGAUAGCACUCAUCAUAGUGAAUCUGCGCCUGUACCCACCGCUUUUUGUACACUAGGGAAAACUCUCACAGGACAGCACCUGUCCUGCAGUUCUGAGCUGCC